CCUGGUGUGAGCCGUGUGAGCUGUGUUUGCCUGCUGGGCUGCCUCUGGGAUCAUUUACCCCUGAAUCUGGGUGUCAACUUGCUGCUAGAGGAGUGGCUGUUGUGAAGCCACAGACUCCCCACCUCUCCUACCGGGUGAUCAAUUUGGAUGCUUCUGGCCAGGAGCGGCCAGUUAAGCUGCAGUGGAACCUACCAGCUGUUUUGCCCUCCCGAGUUGCUGCCACGACACAUAACUACGCCUGGUUUGCCUCUGCUCCGUGGAGUCGGUCUGCAGUUUGCUGCACUCCAAGCAACUGGCUGACCACCUGAACCGGGCUUGUACGCUGGUGGAACGCCAGGCGGAGGACAGCAGCGAUCUGUUUGCUUUAUUAUCUUUUCUCUUUGAUUUGAUUACUUUUGUUUAAGACAGGUGUCGGUUUAUUUUGUUGUUCUUUUGGUUAUUGUUUCCUUAUGUAAUUUUGUGUUCAUUCUUUGUUAUUCUUCAUUUACCUUUGUUUUUGUUUAGGGUGUGGCAGUUACAGGUUUGCAUUUAUUAUUUUACUUGUGAGUUGUGGCUGCCCUCCCACUCAUGUUUAGUUCUUAAUUCUUCUUUGUUUGAAUGCAUGAAUGUGAGGGGAAAAACCCUUUUUAACUCCCCUUGUCUUUUUCCCUCGCUUCCAGAAGCUGAGCACGACGGUGGUGGCAUCGGUGUCCCUGGGUGGUGGGUCUCCCUCCUGUGUGAUGUGCUGCGCACCCCUUUUUGUUUGAGUGUGUUCACCUUUAUUUUCAGCGAGUGAGAGUGUCCACGUGUGUCUGGGAAUGAUCCUUCCGAGGGCUUCAUUCCCCCUACUACUAGUGUCCCUCCGGUAAGCCUCAGCUUCUGAUUGGGCUCCCCCCUUCCCCUUCUUUUAAGAGGAAUGAAUGUGUGUUUUUUUGAAAUUCCAUAUUUAAUAAAGAUAUUUUCUGUUGGCCAGAACCCACGUCUCCUGCUUCUUAG